rnacentral:rRNA from 1 species
GAUGAACGCUGGCGGCGUGCCUAAUACAUGCAAGUCGAGCGAACAGACGAGGAGCUUGCUCCUCUGACGUUAGCGGCGGACGGGUGAGUAACACGUGGAUAACCUACCUAUAAGACUGGGAUAACUUCGGGAAACCGUAGCUAAUACCGGAUAAUAUAUUGAACCGCAUGGUUCAAUAGUGAAAUACGGUUUUGCUGUCACUUAUAGAUGGAUCCGCGCCGCAUUAGCUAGUUGGUAAGGUAACGGCUUACCAAGGCAACGAUGCGUAGCCGACCUGAGAGGGUGAUCGGCCACACGGGAACUGAGACACGGCACAGACUCCUGCGGGAGGCAGCAGUAGGGAAUCUUACGCAAUGGGCGAGAGCCUGACGGAGCAACGCCGCGUGAGUGAUGAAGGUCUUCGGAUCGUAAAACUCUGUUAUGAGGGAAGAACAAAUGUGUAAGUAACUAUGCACGUAUUGACGGUACCUAAUCAGAAAGCCACGGCUAACUACGUG